GACAGCUUUUAGGUUCUGCAAACUCUUUUAUUUUUUAUUUUUUAUUUUUUAUUUUUUAUUUUUUAUUUUUUAUUUUUUAUUUUUUAUUUUUUAUUUUUUAUUUUUUAUUUUUUAUUUUUUUAUCUCUUCAGACAUCUUUCUGCUUCGUUAAAAUUUACUUACUGUUUACCAGUUACAUUUUCCAGCACAUAUUAAGUAAAAAUAUCUGUACUGCACAGAUGUCCCCCUAUUGUGCGCCAGAUGAAUUACAUUUUUUUAAAAAUGUUUUUUCCCAAAGGCUUAUUUCACUGAGUGAGUCAUGGACAUUAAAAAAAAAAUUGGUAGAAAAAUGACUAAGAGCAUAUGACACUCUUCCAGAUGCUCUCUUUCUUCCCCCUUGACAUCUCAUUUCAACUUUCCUCCCCUGGAACAUGCCAUCCUACCUGAGUGUCUUUGUGAAGCUAAGGCUCACACCCCUGAAAGCGCAGGGAUCGCAGAGCCACAGAAACAGAGAAUUCAGGAUGCCAUCUGGUUCAUCUCCCUGACCCAAACUGCUUUACUUACAACACCUCUGUCAGAUGUUUUUUUUUUUUAUUCUGUUCUUAAAGAUACCAAGUAGUAGACACUUUACAGGUUCUUCUAUAUUAGCUCUAAUUAAUCCAUUGGUGUUUUCCUAUUCAAAAGUUACCAUCCCUUUUUGCAAAACAAAACUCUGUUUCCAGACAGACUUUGUCAGCGGGAGUGUGCGUGUAUAGCUGUAUAUUUUGUGCCGAGCUGAACUUCUACGACGGACGCCAGUGACUUGUGAUGACAGACAGACACAGUGUUUGUCAGCGACUUACAGACCUGUGGCUGUGGAGUGGUCAUGUAGGGAUAGUGGUGAUAAUAAGCAGACACGCAGAGCAGACGUGGAGAUGCUGCAGAGGAGGCAGUGGCCCUGGAGGCACGGAGGCUGCAGAAGGGAAGAAGCGGGAAAAAAAGAAGAGGAUAGAAAUGAAGAGUCCUGU
rnacentral:lncRNA from 1 species